rnacentral:rRNA from 1 species
UACGAAGGGGGCUAGCGUUGCUCGGAAUCACUGGGCGUAAAGGGUGCGUAGGCGGGUCUUUAAGUCAAGGGUGAAAUCCUGGAGCUCAACUCCAGAACUGCCUUUGAUACUGAAGAUCUUGAGUUCGGGAGAGGUGAGUGGAACUGCGAGUGUAGAGGUGAAAUUCGUAGAUAUUCGCAAGAACACCAGUGGCGAAGGCGGCUCACUGGCCCGAUACUGACGCUGAGGCACGAAAGCGUGGGGAGCAAACAGG